UUUUGCAAUGUGGCUGUGUUUGUUAUUUUGGGUGGAACCGUGGUUUAGUGUUGUUUGAUUUUAGUUUUUUUUUUUUGUGUUGUGAAUCCUAAUGUACCAUUGCUUUAUUGUGCAGUUGAAAUGGCGUCCGGUAACCCAAAGGUAAGUUAAAGUUUAGGUAUUACUUAUGAUUGUGAUUUUUUAUGUUAAGUAAUAAAAAUUCAUUCUUUUUAUAAUUUUUUGUAGUGACGGGUUCGUCAGUCUGUGGAUUCAUCUGUCAUUAUUGAAAUGAAUGAG
rnacentral:lncRNA from 1 species